GACCGAAACCAGUCAGGCUAUCAAACAUCACCAGGCGCUGUUAAUUAUGUGUAUUGGUAUAUACUAUAUUUUUAUGCUUUUACAUUUUUCUCACUGAUACACAUAGUUAAUAUGGCUUCUACUAACGAAAGCUCCAUGGAGCUAAUGUGUUUAGAGACUACUUAUGUCAGUACACCUUUCCUAUAUUGCCUACAAUUUGUUUCUCGACAGGAAUUAACCUAUCUGAUGUAUUAUUGAAUUGGGGGGGGGGGGUAUGAUUCCCCUGGAAUUAAAAAGCAAAGGCACAUAUCAUUUCCAUAUGAGUAGCCCCUAAAACAAGAGGUAAACAAAUAUUUAUAUGUUUAAACUAACAAACUAGAUAUAUAGAAGAAAAUAUAACAAUGUCAUAUAGCAAUUUCAAAUCACUCUUUCUAUAACAUCAAUUUUUUAAUAGAUAUUUUUGACUUCGCUGGAAUGCAUUGCAUGAGAAACACUUCAGCUUGAAUAAAACAUAACAAACUAAACAACUGUAUGAAUUAUUCUAAAACAGAAAUACCAAGAACUUGCAGUCAGAAUUCCACAAUAUUGGCCUGACUGUAACUAAAAAUAACACCUUCAAAUACUUUACAUAUUUUUAAUACAUCCAUAUCAUACCUAACAUGUAAGCUAAAUACCCAGUUAAUGCACAGGUGUAGUUGUGGAUGGUGGGUGGGAUAGCUGAUUGUAAUUGCAUCCAAUACAACGAUGCUUUCUCUCAAUUCAUCAACAAUACUCUAACCUCCCUCUAGG
rnacentral:lncRNA from 1 species